GAUGAACGCUGGCGGCGUGCCUAAUACAUGCAAGUCGAGCGAACAGAUGAGGAGCUUGCUCCUCUGACGUUAGCGGCGGACGGGUGAGUAACACGUGGAUAACCUACCUAUAAGACUGGGAUAACUUCGGGAAACCGGAGCUAAUACCGGAUAAUAUAUUGAACCGCAUGGUUCAAUAGUGAAAGACGGUUUUGCUGUCACUUAUAGAUGGAUCCGCGCCGCAUUAGCUAGUUGGUAAGGUAACGGCUUACCAAGGCAACGAUGCGUAGCCGACCUGAGAGGAUGAUCGGCCACACUGGAACUGAGACACGGUCCAGACUCCUACGGGAGGCAGCAGUAGGGAAUCUUGCGCAAUGGGCGAAAGCCUGACGGAGCAACGCCGCGUGAGUGAUGAAGGUCUUCGGAUCGUAAAACACUGUAAGUAGGGAAGAAGAAAAGUGUAAGUAACUAUGCAUGUCUUGACGUUACCUACUCAGAAAGCCACGGCUAACUACGUG
rnacentral:rRNA from 1 species